rnacentral:rRNA from 1 species
GACGAACCGUGCAAACGUUAUUCGGAAUCACUGGGCUUAAAGGGCGCGUAGGCGGGCCGCCAGGUCCGGGGUGAAAGCCUCCAGCUCAACUGGAGAAGUGCCUUGGAUACCGGCGGCCUCGAGGGAGGCAGGGGCGUGCGGAACUUCGGGUGGAGCGGUGAAAUGCGUAGAUAUCCGAAGGAACACCGGUGGCGAAAGCGGCGCGCUGGACCUCUUCUGACGCUGAGGCGCGAAAGCCAGGGGAGCAAACAGG